rnacentral:rRNA from 1 species
GAGUUUGAUCUUGGCUCAGAUUGAACGCUGGCGGCAGGCCUAACACAUGCAAGUCGAGCGGUAGAGAGAAGCUUGCUUCUCUUGAGAGCGGCGGACGGGUGAGUAAUGCCUAGGAAUCUGCCUGGUAGUGGGGGAUAACGCUCGGAAACGGACGCUAAUACCGCAUACGUCCUACGGGAGAAAGCAGGGGACCUUCGGGCCUUGCGCUAUCAGAUGAGCCUAGGUCGGAUUAGCUAGUUGGUGAGGUAAUGGCUCACCAAGGCGACGAUCCGUAACUGGUCUGAGAGGAUGAUCAGUCACACUGGAACUGAGACACGGUCCAGACUCCUACGGGAGGCAGCAGUGGGGAAUAUUGGACAAUGGGCGAAAGCCUGAUCCAGCCAUGCCGCGUGUGUGAGGAAGGUCUUCGGAUUGUAAAGCACUUUAAGUUGGGAGGAAGGGCAGUAAAUUAAUACUUUAGCUGUUUUGACGUUACCGACAGAAUAAGCACCGGCUAACUCUGUGCCAGCACG